GUCAUGUUAGUAAUGCAGCUUCUCUUUUUCCAGAACGGAAAGAAGGUUGAAGAAUCUACCCACAGAGGCUCAUGGCACACCUGAUGCUCCACCAGGCCGUCCAGGCCUGACUCGCUCUACCUAACUCACCUGCCCUCUGGUCUUGUCACAUCUUCCUGGAGCUGAGCCACCGAAGGGGAGAUGCUGUUAGAAGUACGAAGUUAAAUGCAGAGCCCUGGAGAUGCCUGGAAGCACACACGAGAUGAGCACAGCCAUUCACGGAAGACCUAAGAAAUGGAAAAUGUGCAGGAUAAACUUUUCACCAUGACAAAGUAGAGCCAUGUCGCUGGUUCCAAUAUGGGAUUGACAGCAGGAAGUAAUGACAAUAAGCUUACAAAGUAUUUUCUUCUAAGUCUCAGCAAGAUACCUGUCACGUGGGUGUUAAUCUCCCCAUUUUGCACAUGAGAAAGCUGAGCACAGAAGAGUGAGUAUCUUGUACCACCGCCUGUAGGGCCUGCAUUGAUACGUUGUUUGACUUCUGACUCCCAAAAUGGAAGCUCUCCUCUUGCAUAACACUGAGUUAACAAUCACAUGAAAGUCCAACAGCAGCGUUCCCUAAGCUUCCUGUUUAAAAUGGAAUGUUUUUCCCGUGCGCCGCCAUGAAGACGUGAAUGUUCACUUGACCCGACAUCCAUGAGUUAAUAGGAUUCGGGAAGUGCUUCGCAGGGCAGGCCCGUGUCCCAUCCACCCAACACAGUGUAGA